AAUGAACGUUGGCGGCGUGGAUUAGGCAUGCAAGUCGAGCGCGAACCACGCAAGGGGUGAAAGCGGCGAAAGGGAGAGUAACGCGUGGGUAUCUGCCCUCGGGACUGGGAUAGCUGCGGGAAACUGCAGGUAAUACCAGAUGACGUCCCCGGCCCACAGGUGUGAUUCCGACUGAGGAGGAGCCCGCGUCCUAGUAGCUAGUUGGUAGGGUAAUGGCCUAACAAGGUAAUGAUGGGUACUGGGUGUGAGAGCACGACCCAGUCUCACUGGGACUGAGACACUGCCCAGACACCUACGGGUGGCUGCAGUCGAGAAUCUUCGGCAAUGGGCGAAAGCCUGACCGAGCGACGCCGCGUGUGGGAGGAAGGCCGUCGGGUUGUAAACCGCUGUCAGAGGGGAGGAAUGGGCGGAGUGUAAUCGCUUCGUUUUGACCUAUCCUCAGAGGAAGUACGGGCUAAGUUCGUGCCAGCCGCCGCCGUAA
rnacentral:rRNA from 1 species